rnacentral:rRNA from 2 species
ACCUGCCUAUAAGACUGGGAUAACUUCGGGAAACCGGAGCUAAUACCGGAUACGUUCUUUUCUCGCAUGAGAGAAGAUGGAAAGACGGUUUACGCUGUCACUUAUAGAUGGGCCCGCGGCGCAUUAGCUAGUUGGUGAGGUAAUGGCUCACCAAGGCGACGAUGCGUAGCCGACCUGAGAGGGUGAUCGGCCACACUGGGACUGAGACACGGCCCAGACUCCUACGGGAGGCAGCAGUAGGGAAUCUUCCGCAAUGGACGAAAGUCUGACGGAGCAACGCCGCGUGAACGAAGAAGGCCUUCGGGUCGUAAAGUUCUGUUGUUAGGGAAGAACAAGUACCAGAGUAACUGCUGGUACCUUGACGGACGGUACCUAACCAGAAAGCCACGGCUAACUACGUGCCAGCAGCCGCGGUAAUACGUAGGUGGCAAGCGUUGUCCGGAAUUAUUGGGCGUAAAGCGCGCGCAGGUGGUUCCUUAAGUCUGAUGUGAAAGCCCACGGCUCAACCGUGGAGGGUCAUUGGAA